AUUGAACGCUGGCGGCAUGCCUUACACAUGCAAGUCGAACGGCAGCACGGGAGCAAUCCUGGUGGCGAGUGGCGAACGGGUGAGUAAUAUAUCGGAACGUGCCCAGUAGUGGGGGAUAGCCCGGCGAAAGCCGGAUUAAUACCGCAUGAGACCUGAGGGUGAAAGCGGGGGAUCGCAAGACCUCGCGCUAUUGGAGCGGCCGAUAUCAGAUUAGCUAGUUGGUGGGGUAAAGGCCUACCAAGGCAACGAUCUGUAGUUGGUCUGAGAGGACGACCAGCCACACUGGGACUGAGACACGGCCCAGACUCCUACGGGAGGCAGCAGUGGGGAAUUUUGGACAAUGGGCGCAAGCCUGAUCCAGCAAUGCCGCGUGCAGGAAGAAGGCCUUCGGGUUGUAAACUGCUUUUGUCAGGGAAGAAAUCCCUUGGGACAAUACCUCGGGGGGAUGACGGUACCUGAAGAAUAAGCACCGGCUAACUACGUGCCAGCAGCCGCUGUAAAAC
rnacentral:rRNA from 1 species